UGGCUCUGGCAUCGAUGAAGAACGCAGCGAAAUGCGAUACGUAAUGUGAAUUGCAGAAUUCAGUGAAUCAUCGAAUCUUUGAACGCAUAUUGCGCCCUUCGGUAUUCCGGAGGGCAUGCCUGUCCGAGCGUCAUUAACACCACUCAAGUUAAUCUUGGUUUUGAGGCUGGCCGUCGUGGCCACCUCUAAUUACAGUGGUCGACCUCUACCAUCUCGAGCGCAGUACAAUUUCUCGCUAGGUGAUGUGUAGCAGGCUGCUGACCAAAAAUCAAAUUAUACGCUAGUUGACCUCGGAUCAGGUAGGAGUACCCGCUGA
rnacentral:misc_RNA from 1 species